rnacentral:rRNA from 1 species
GCCUUGACAGUACCAGCAGAGGAAGCCACGGCUAACUCUGUGCCAGCAGCCGCGGUAAUACAGAGGUGGCAAGCGUUGUUCGGAUUUAUUGGGCGUAAAGGGUCCGUAGGCGGCCUAGAAAGUCGGAUGUGAAAUCCCACAGCUUAACUGUGGAACUGCAUUCAAAACUUUCAGGCUCGAGUGUGAUAGGGGUAAAGGGAAUUCCCGGUGUAAGGG